GUGAGAGAGAGACAGGUGAGAGAGAGACAGGUGAGACAGAGACAGGUGAGAGAGAGACAGGUGAGAGACAGACAGGUGAAAGAGAGACCGGUGAGAGACAGACAGGUGAGACAGACAGGUGAGAGAGAGACAGGUGAGACAGACAGGUGAGACACAGACAGGUGAGAGAGACAGGUGAGAGAGACAGGUGAGAGACAGGUGGGAG